CGCCCGUCAAACCACGAAAGUGGGCAAUACCCAACGCCGGUGGCCUAACCCGUAAGGGAGGGAGCCGUCUAAGGUAGGGUCCAUGAUUGGGGUUAAGUCGUAACAAGGUAUCCCUACGGGAACGUGGGGAUGGAUCACCUCCUUUCUAAGGAGAAAGGCUAACUAAUAAUUAGCAAAAGAUGACUACUAGUAAGUAGUAACAAUUCUCUAAUUUGUUCAUCAUAUUCAGUUUUGAGAGACUUAUGUCACUCAUAUAUAUAGCAACCACAUAAUAUAAAUUAGUGGGGCCUGUAGCUCAGCUGGUUAGAGCACUCGCUUGAUAAGCGAGGGGUCGAUGGUUCAAGUCCAUUCAGGCCCACCAUUAAUAUAUAUAUAAUUAUAAAUUGGGGCCUUAGCUCAGCUGGGAGAGCGCCUGCCUUGCACGCAGGAGGUCAGCGGUUCGAUCCCGCUAGGCUCCACCAAUAUAAAGAUUAGGGUAACCUAAUUGAGAUCUUUGAAAAGUAGAUAAAUGAUGUCUGAAAAGAAAUAAGGUUAAGGAACAAAGGGCACACAGUGGAUGCCUUGGCACCAAGAGGCGAAGAAGGACGGAACUAACACCGAAAUGCUCGGGGAAGCUGUAAGUAAGCGACGAUUCCGAGAUGUCCGAAUGGGGGAACCCACUAUGUUGAAGACAUAGUAUCUAACACACGUGUUAGAGGCAAUACGUAGGGAACUGAAAUAUCUAAGUACCUACAGGAAAAGAAAGUAAUAACGAUUCUGUAAGUAGCGACGAGCGAACGCGGAGGAGCCAGAUACCUAAGGUUACAAAAUUAUAUAAUAGAUGAAUGAUGUGGGAAAAUCAGUCAAAGAAGGUGAGAGCCCUGUAGUCGAAAUUAUAUAAUCCAUGGUAUCAGAAAGUAGGGCGGGACACGUGGAAUCCCGUUUGAAGAUAGGAGGACCAUCUCCUAAGGCUAAAUACUACAUGGUGACCGAUAGUGAACCA
rnacentral:sRNA from 1 species